CAGGACAUAAUUUAAUUAGAAUAUUGGCUUUGGGAGCCAGUAGUAGAGGUUAAAGCCUUCUUGUCCUGA
rnacentral:tRNA from 1 species